GGCGGCGUGCCUAACACAUGCAAGUCGAGCGAGGAGAUUCCUCGGGAUGAUCCUAGCGGCGGACGGGUGAGUAACACGUGGGCAACCUGCCUCAUAGAGAGGAAUAGCCUUCCGAAAGGGAGAUUAAUACCUCAUAACAUUGCAGUUUCGCAUGGAACAGCAAUUAAAGGAGCAAUCCGCUAUGAGAUGGGCCCGCGGCGCAUUAGCUAGUUGGUGAGGUAACGGCUCACCAAGGCGACGAUGCGUAGCCGACCUGAGAGGGUGAUCGGCCACAUUGGGACUGAGACACGGCCCAGACUCCUACGGGAGGCAGCAGUGGGGAAUAUUGCACAAUGGGGGAAACCCUGAUGCCAGCAACGCCGCGUGAGUGAUGACGGCCUUCGGGUUGUAAAGCUCUGUCUUCAGGGACGAUAAUGACGGUACCUGAGGAGGAAGCCACGGCUAACUACGUGCCAGCCGCCGC
rnacentral:rRNA from 1 species